rfam:TPA: Bos taurus chromosome 5, whole genome shotgun sequence.
UAGCUCAGUCAGUAAAGAAUCUGCCUGCAGUGCAGGAGACCCAGGUUCGAUUCCUGG